GACAGAGGAUGCAAGCGUUAUCCGGAAUGAUUGGGCGUAAAGCGUCUGUAGGUGGCUUUUCAAGUCCGCCGUCAAAUCCCAGGGCUCAACCCUGGACAGGCGGUGGAAACUACCAAGCUGGAGUACGGUAGGGGCAGAGGGAAUUUCCGGUGGAGCGGUGAAAUGCGUAGAUAUCGUCUGGAACGCCGAAGGUGAAAACAGCUCGCUGGGGCUGCGCUGACGCUGAGACACGAAAGCCAGGGGAGCGAACGGG
rnacentral:rRNA from 1 species